ACUAGGGUGCUAUAGGGUAUAAUGGCGUUCUAUAGGGCACAGUGGGGUGCUAUAGGGUACAGUGGGGUUCUAUAGGGUUCUAUAGGGCACAGCGGGGUUCUAUAGGGCUUUAUGGGACACAGUGGGGUGCUAUAGGGCACAGUGGGGUGCUAUAGGGUUCUAUAGGGUGCAGUGGGGUUCUAUAGGGCACAGUGGGGUUCUAUAGGGUUCUAUAGGGCGCAGUGGGGUUCUAUAGGGCACAAUGGGGUUCUAUAGGGCACAGUGGGGUGCUAUAGGGUGCUAUAAGGCACAGUGGGGUGCUAUAGAGCGCUAUAGGGCACAGUGGGGUGCUAUAGGGUUCUAUAGGGCACAGUGGGGUUCUAUAGGGCACAGUGGGGUGCUAUAGGGCACAAUGGGGUGCUAUAGGGUGCAGUGGGGCGCUAUAGGGCACGGUGGGGUUCUAUAGGGUUCUAUAGGGUGCAGUGGGGUUCUAUAGGGUGCUAUAGGGCACAAUGGGGUGCUAUAGGGCGCAGUGGGGUGCUAUAGGGUUCUAUAGGGCACAGUGGGGUUCUAUAGGGCACAAUGGGGUGCUAUAGGGCACAUUGGGGUGCUAUAGGGCACAAUGGGGUGCUAUAG